UCAACCUGUGCAUGCAUUAUCUCUGUACUACAGAACCCCUUACUAGAGCUUGCUCUAGACGGGUUAAACUCAUACAUGUUAAGCCUGGUUUUCACAUACUCAUAAAAACAUUUACAUAAAACAAACCAUGUAUACAAAAGGGAUUUACAAUACAUAUGGGUCAAGCACACUACUAAACUCUAUACAAAACUAAUAUAUCACUUUACAAGAGUACAUGUCCACACUAUGCUAUUACAAAGCUCUUUACUCUUCCUGUACCCUGCUGAACUUCCCCUGACCUCUGAUCUUGCAAGACUGGGAUUAAG
rnacentral:lncRNA from 1 species